GUGGGGAAUCUUGCGCAAUGGGCGAAAGCCUGACGCAGCCAUGCCGCGUGAAUGAUGAAGGUCUUAGGAUUGUAAAAUUCUUUCACCGGGGACGAUAAUGACGGUACCCGGAGAAGAAGCCCCGGCUAACUUCGUGCCAGCAGCCGCGGUAAUACGAAGGGGGCUAGCGUUGCUCGGAAUUACUGGGCGUAAAGGGCGCGUAGGCGGACAGUUUAGUCAGAGGUGAAAGCCCAGGGCUCAACCUUGGAAUUGCCUUUGAUACUGGCUGUCUUGAGUACGGGAGAGGUGAGUGGAACUCCGAGUGUAGAGGUGAAAUUCGUAGAUAUUCGGAAGAACACCAGUGGCGAAGGCGACUCACUGGCCCGUUACUGACGCUGAGGCGCGAAAGCGUGGGGAGCGAACAGGAUUAGAAACCCUAGUAGUCC
rnacentral:rRNA from 1 species